rnacentral:rRNA from 1 species
CACGGAGUUAGCCGGCGCUUCUUCUGCAGGUACCGUCACUUUCGCUUCUUCCCUACUGAAAGAGGUUUACAACCCGAAGGCCGUCAUCCCUCACGCGGCGUCGCUGCAUCAGGCUUGCGCCCAUUGUGCAAUAUUCCCCA